rnacentral:rRNA from 1 species
AGAGUUUGAUCAUGGCUCAGGACGAACGCUGGCGGCAGGCUUAACACAUGCAAGUCGAGCGGGGGAAGGUAGCUUGCUACUGGACCUAGCGGCGGACGGGUGAGUAAUGCCUGGGAAAUUGCCCAGUCGAGGGGGAUAACAGUUGGAAACGACUGCUAAUACCGCAUACGCCCUACGGGGGAAAGCAGGGGACCUUCGGGCCUUGCGCGAUUGGAUAUGCCCAGGUGGGAUUAGCUAGUUGGUGAGGUAAUGGCUCACCAAGGCGACGAUCCCUAGCUGGUCUGAGAGGAUGAUCAGCCACACUGGAACUGAGACACGGCCCAGACUCCUACGGGAGGCAGCAGUGGGGAAUAUUGCACAAUGGGCGCAAGCCUGAUGCAGCCAUGCCGCGUGUAUGAAGAAGGCCUUCGGGUUGUAAAGCACUUUCAGCGAGGAGGAAAGGUUGAUGCCUAAUACGUAUCAACUGUGACGUUACUCGCAGAAGAAGCACCGGCUAACUCCGUGCCAGCAGCCGCGGUAAUUC